UAAUCUGUGUCCCAGACCAGACUGAGAGCUCUCUGAAAGCAGGGUCGGCUGAGGUCACUGUUGUAUCCCCAGCUGCUAGAACAGUGCCAGGCUCAUAGAAAACUCUGGCGCUUCUAAAGGGAACUCCACCCAAGCCCAGCUCCAGCAGGAAAUACCAAAAACUGCCCCUCUGUAGUUUGGGUCAUGGCACUCUUGCAUGAAGGAAAGGAGUAACAACUAAACCGGAGAUUUUUACUUCAGUGAUGGUUGAAGCGGCACAUUCCACAAGGUAGAGAAUGAAGAAGUGAUACAGGAGCAGGGGCAGGGAAGUGCUGGGAGGAGAAGGGUGGGGUCCCUGGCGAGGGAGCCACCCUCGGGUCUGUGCCCACGGACCUAGGUGAGGACAGGCACUCCUGUUUUCACACCCAAAUGUUGCAUUUUCCAAGAUGACCCUGGCCCGCCAUGCCCCCAUUCUGUGCCUAUAAAAACCCCCGAAACCCUAGUGGGUAGAGACACAAGCAGCUGGACGUCAAGAGGAGCACACGGGCAGAACAUACUGGCAGGCUCCAGCAGACCCUGGCAGGCCAUCCACCGGUGGAACAAGGAAGCCAGAGGAAUUUGGCCGGGGUGGUUGGAGUUGAG
rnacentral:lncRNA from 1 species